GAUGAACGCUAGCGGGAGGCCUAACACAUGCAAGCCGAGCGGUAUUGUUUCUUCGGAAAUGAGAGAGCGGCGUACGGGUGCGGAACACGUGUGCAACCUGCCUUUAUCUGGGGGAUAGCCUUUCGAAAGGAAGAUUAAUACUCCAUAAUAUAUUGAUUGGCAUCAAUUAAUAUUGAAAGCUCCGGCGGAUAGAGAUGGGCACGCGCAAGAUUAGCUAGUUGGUGAGGUAACGGCUCACCAAGGCGAUGAUCUUUAGGGGGCCUGAGAGGGUGAUCCCCCACACUGGUACUGAGACACGGACCAGACUCCUACGGGAGGCAGCAGUGAGGAAUAUUGGUCAAUGGGUGCAAGCCUGAACCAGCCAUCCCGCGUGAAGGACGACUGCCCUAUGGGUUGUAAACUUCUUUUGUAUAGGGAUAAACCUACCCUCGUGAGGGUAGCUGAAGGUACUAUACGAAUAAGCACCGGCUAACUCCGUGCCAGCAGCCGCGGUAAUACGGAGGGUGCAAGCGUUAUCCGGAUUUAUUGGGUUUAAAGGGUCCGUAGGCGGACUUAUAAGUCAGUGGUGAAAGCCUGUCGCUUAACGAUAGAACUGCCAUUGAUACUGUAAGUCUUGAGUAUAUUUGAGGUAGCUGGAAUAAGUAGUGUAGCGGUGAAAUGCAUAGAUAUUACUUAGAACACCAAUUGCGAAGGCAGGUUACCAAGAUAUAACUGACGCUGAGGGACGAAAGCGUGGGGAGCGAACAGGAUUAGAUACCCUGGUAGUCCACGCCGUAAACGAUGCUAACUCGUUUUUGGGCUUUAGGGUUCAGAGACCAAGCGAAAGUGAUAAGUUAGCCACCUGGGGAGUACGCUCGCAAGAGUGAAACUCAGAGGAAUUGACGGGGGCCCGCACAAGCGGUGGAUUAUGUGGUUUAAUUCGAUGAUACGCGAGGAACCUUACCAAGACUUAAAUGGGAAUUGACAGCUUUAGAAAUAGAGCUUUCUUCGGACAAUUUUCAAGGUGCUGCAUGGUUGUCGUCAGCUCGUGCCGUGAGGUGUUAGGUUAAGUCCUGCAACGAGCGCAACCCCUGUCACUAGUUGCCAUCAUUCAGUUGGGGACUCUAGUGAGACUGCCUACGCAAGUAGAGAGGAAGGUGGGGAUGACGUCAAAUCAUCACGGCCCUUACGUCUUGGGCCACACACGUAAUACAAUGGCCGGUACAGAGGGCAGCUACACAGCGAUGUGAUGCAAAUCUCGAAAGCCGGUCUCAGUUCGGAUUGGAGUCUGCAACUCGACUCUAUGAAGCUGGAAUCGCUAGUAAUCGCGCAUCAGCCAUGGCGCGGUGAAUACGUUCCCGGGCCU
rnacentral:rRNA from 1 species